rfam:Pyronema omphalodes CBS 100304, CBS100304, WGS project CATG01000000 data, contig: Pcon_v1_contig382
GCUCCGGUGGCUUAGGGGUAAAGCGCGACACUAGUAAUGUCGAGAUCCGCGGUUCAAAUCCGCGUCGGAGCU